rnacentral:rRNA from 1 species
AUGGCGCUAAGCGUGGCACGAUCGCUUGUGACGAGCGCUGCAAACAAGGCGGCCUCAGAGGCCAUGGAUGAAGUGGCUUUGCUCAUGGGAGUACGGACCGAAAUAUGGUACAUCAAGGAUGAGCUUAAAAUAAUGCAAGCCUUCUUGAGAACUGCUGAAAGGAUGAAAGAUAGCGAUGAGCUGGUGAAAGUAUGGGCGGAGCAAGUAGAGGAUGUGUCAUAUGACAUUAAAUAUUGCCUGGACGAAUUCAAAGCUAAUUUGGGGCACCCAGGCUGCUUGCAGUGGCUCGUGAAGGUUAGAUAUCGCCAUCAAAUUGCUAUCCAGAUUCGUAACUUGAAAGUAAGAGUUGGAGAGGUAAGCAACAGGAUCCAACGUUAUAGUCAUUUAAUGAUGCCCAUAACAUCUAGCAGCAUUGAUGAGAGGAAAUAUUACAAGGAUGAGACUAGUUCUUACACGGAAGACGUUCACAAUUGGUCACAAAGCAGCAUUGUUGAAUCAGAAGAGUUGUACUUUUCCAAGCAUAUGACAACAAUGAUUAAGCUAAUGGAUGUCAACAUGAGUCAUGGUCCAGCCAGUGUGAUACAUGUCGUUGGCAUGGGUGGUACAGGCAAGACUACUCUUGCAAGGAAGAUCUAUGAAAGUGAUAUCAGGGAGGAUUUUUGUGUGUGUGCUUGGAUCAUGGUCUCGCCGUCAUUUGUCAGGAUGGAGUUUCUCAAAGUUAUGUUGAAACAACUUUUUGGCGGGGAAGCAUUAAGGAUGCAACUUGAAGGGAAUGUAGUGUGGGAACAGGACCUCCUCAACUAUAUUAGGCAAGAGCUACUUGACAAGAGGUACUUUGUUGUUCUUGAUGACAUAUGGAAUAUAGAUGCUUGGAAUUGGAUCAAAUCUAUUUUUCCCCCUUAUAAUAACAAAGGCAGCCGAAUCAUAGUAACAAUGCGAGAUGUUGGCCUAGCUCAUAUGUGUACUUCAGAAUUUGGUCACACACAUAUCUACGACCAUCAAGUCCUAGAAAAGAAUGAUGCCAUAAAAUUGUUGCUAAGGAGGGCGAGGAGGAGUGAGGAAGAUAUGAACAAUGACCAGAACAUGAGGGAAGUAGUUACUAAGAUAGUAAAUAUAUGUGGACGGUUGCCCCUAGCUUUACUCACAAUAGGAGGCAUGCUUUCCACUAGAGAGACUAGUGAGUGGCAAAGUAUCUAUAACCAGCUCCCCGUAGAGCUUGAGAGCAACCGAAGCCUUGAAGCUUUGAGGAGGAUGGUUGUUGUGUGUUAUGACGACUUGCCAUCUCAUCUUAAGCCAUGUUUUCUAUACAUAAGCAUCUUUCCUAGGGAUUUUGAGAUCCAAGUGAGGCAUUUGAUAGAUAGAUGGAUUGCAGAGGGAUUUGUUACAUCUGGGGUUGGGAUGGAUAUUGAGGGUGUUGCAAGGAGUUACUUGUAUGUGUUAAUCAAUAGAGGUAUGGUUCAACCAUCAAGAGUUGAUAUAGAUGGAAGUGUUAAGAGUUGUAGAGUCCAUGCUGUCAUCUUUGAUAUCAUGAAAUCCAUUUCAAGAGAUGAAAAAUUUGUAUACUUCACAAGGGAUAUUGUUACAAGUGCACCAGAGGAGAACUUCCGCCAUGUAGCACACCAUCAUCAGAAGUGGCCAAAGAUUGGCUUGGAUUGGAGUCAUGUUCGAUCAUUGAGUAUGUUUGCUGUGAUCCCCACGGAACCAACACCACCAGUCUGUUCAGCCUACCUGAGGAUGCUAAGUUCCUUGGAUCUUCAGGAUGCACAAUAUAGUAUCACACAGAAAGAUAUCAACAACAUAGGGUUAUUGCGCCGUUUGAAAUAUCUGAAUGUUCGAGGACAUUCAAGUAUUUCCGGGCUUCCAGGAUCCAUAGGAAAACUACAUGGCUUACAAUAUUUGGAUGCAAGAAAUAGUUGCAUCACAUCAUUACCAAGUGAGAUCAGUACACUCCAUAGUCUGUGUAGCCUUCGCUGUAGCAGUAAAAAAGUUGAUCUAGAUGGCCCACAGGAAGGCUUGACGCACACAUUGUGCCUGCCCAUGGUAUUCACAUCUUUUCUUAAUUCUGUACCCCGUGCUGAGUCUGGGGGUGUGAGAGUGCCAAGAGGGAUCGGUGACUUAAAAGAGUUACGGAUACUAGAGGUUGUAGACACGAAACGAACUAGUAGCAGAGCAAUUAAAGAGCUAGGGGAGCUUAUGCAGCUAAGAAAGCUAAGUGUGGUAACAGCAGGGGCCACGAAGCAAAAAUGUAAGGUACUUUGUGCAGCCAUUGAGCAGCCAUCUUCUCUCCGCUCUCUUCGUGUAGAUGCUGGCACAAGCUCUCUCGAGUGGUUACACUCUGUUUCAUCUCCUCCCCCAAUCCUGAGGAGCCUGAAGCUGGUUGGAUUUCUUGGAGAGAUGCCAGACUGGUUGGGAAGUUUGAUGCAUUUGGUGAAGAUUCGCCUAGAGGGGAGUAAACUGAAGGGAGGUAAAACCAUGAAAUUACUGGGGGGACUGCCCAGUCUCAUGCUCCUUGGUCUUUGUAAUGAGGCUUAUGCUGGAGACAAACUAGUCUUCGGGGAGGAAGAAUUCCAAAAUCUCAGACAACUUGAUUUUAAUGGCAGUAUGGGAGUGAGAGAGGUGAGAUUCGAGGCGGGCACCUCGCCCCGCAUGGAAACGAUGCAAUUUGGCCAUUGCGAGUUGGAAUCAGGGGUCAAUGGUGUCAAGCACCUUCAAAGACUCAAGGAGAUUUCAUUUGGUUCCGCUGGUAAAGUGGCAAAUCUUGGUGCGCUGCAAGGUGAAGUGGACGGGCACCCCAACCGUCCCAUUCUGCGACUCAGGGAUGACUGGAGGUAUCACGACCUGGGUGACGUCGUCCAAGGAUCCAGUCCUGCAGUGCAAGCAGCGGCAACCGGAGAGAGCUCCUCCUCCCAGGUGGUGGUCCUGAGGACGACGGAGAUCGAGAUCGACAGCAGCCAAGACCCUGAAAUAAGGGAGGUCCAAGGCUCUGCUUUGGUGGAAGACGAUUUCUGGUCCUGCAAUUCCGACGACGACGACGAUGCUUGA